rnacentral:rRNA from 1 species
AUUGAACGCUGGCGGCAUGCCUUACACAUGCAAGUCGAACGGCAGCACGGGUGCUUGCACCUGGUGGCGAGUGGCGAACGGGUGAGUAAUACAUCGGAACAUGUCCUGUAGUGGGGGAUAGCCCGGCGAAAGCCGGAUUAAUACCGCAUACGAUCUACGGAUGAAAGCGGGGGACCUUCGGGCCUCGCGCUAUAGGGUUGGCCGAUGGCUGAUUAGCUAGUUGGUGGGGUAAAGGCCUACCAAGGCGACGAUCAGUAGCUGGUCUGAGAGGACGACCAGCCAGACUGGGAGUGAGACACGGCCGAGAGUGCGGCGGGAGGCAGCAGUGGGGAAUGGUGGACGAUGGGGGAAAGCCUGAUGCAGGAAUGCGGCGUGUGUGAAGAAGGCGUUCGGGUUGUAAAGCACUUUUGUCCGGAAAGAAAUCCUUGGCCCUAAUACGGUCGGGGGAUGACGGUACCGGAAGAAUAAGCACCGGCUAACUACGUG